CCUACGGGAGGCAGCAGUGGGGAAUCUUGGACAAUGGGCGAAAGCCUGAUCCAGCCAUGCCGCGUGAGUGAAGAAGGCCUUAGGGUUGUAAAGCUCUUUUGCCCGGGAAGAUAAUGACGGUACCGGGAGAAUAAGCCCCGGCAAACUUCGUGCCAGCAGCCGCGGUAAU
rnacentral:rRNA from 1 species